CGUAUAAUGGACCUGCCGGUGGUGGGGAAACUGAGGCACGGUGCCCUGAGAUCACACAGAUGGCAGUGCCAGAGUGGAUGGGUUCUAAUGCACCCCCUGCGACGCACUGAGCCCCCACCCAGGGUCGCAGAGCAAAUGCUGGUCUGCAGCUUCCUGGGGACAGCAGGUGGCUCGCCCUUCCGUGACCAGGACACUGAGGCCGCGGAGGGGCCCGAUUCGCCCCCCGCACACAGUGCACGGGGCCCGGCGCCACGGCCUCCUGGCCCUGCCCAGAAGAGCUCACGGUGCCCCCACCCCCGGGCGCCGGCUUUGCCCGGCUUUGGAGCAGAGGCGGGACUGCGGGUCACCCCGCCCUGCGCCCGCGAGCAGCACCGGGAGCCGCCGGCUGGAGCCUGGGUGCAGCGGGAGAGAGGUCCCGGCAGCCCCCGAAGGGCAGGGCCACCGUGCGGCGUGGGCAGGGCCUCAUCCCCACCCCGUCCGUCCCGAAUGCCCCGGCCAGCCUGGCACGGACCCCCCCCCAGCAACCCCCGCCGGUACCCCGGGACGCCGGUCUCCCUGAGCUGCCGGGCGUGGCCCCCCGGGGCGCGUUCCGGGGCAGCACCAGACUCUUCUAGUGGACUCUUCUCAAAGGACCUGGAAAAGAAGGCGAGCCUCAGGUCAAAGCCACCCCACUGCCAUCCUAGCCUAUCACUGAGGGCUGACUGAGCGCUCACAAGGGCUGCAUCGGAGAGUCCUGUGUUGCCACCUCCACUCCCUCUGCAGCAGGGAAGCAGCCAGGAGGGCAGCUCGGAAGGCAGGAAAGAUCUCACAACUGUAAGGUCGACGGUGUUGAAGGAGCUGCUGACUGAAUUGAGCCCGGGAUGAAGAGGAGAAGCUGUCUUCCCGCCUCUGAUGCAGAGCCCACGGCGCUCCAUUAAUUCCCCACACUCCUGCUUCAUACACAGAGAUGGGAAACCGGAAGAACCCCACAACUGAAGAGACUACACAAAACUCCGGCAACUAGUACCGUGCUUCUUAUGAUCUCUGGAGGCUGCACAGGGGCUUCGGUGGACAGCACUAAUUUCAGGUGGAUUUGCAUGUUCACAACCCACCCACAAGCACCUCUGCAAGAGACAAGAGUCCUGACAGGGUUCUCACCCGGCUGGGCAGGUUCUGUUUAUUCAGGACAUAUUUCGGAGUCUCUCAAAAGCAGGGCAUGAUGGAGACCAGUGAUUCUCAAACUGAAACAUGCAUCAGAAAUUACCUUCAAGUGCUGGAUGUGGUGGCACACACUUGUAAUCUCAGCACUCAGCACUUGGGAGGCUGAAGCAGGAGGAUGGCUGCAAAUUCCGGCCAGCCUGGGCUACAAAGUGAGGGGUUUGUUUUUCAGUAUCGAGAUCUAACUCAUGACCUUGCGCUUGCUAGGCAGGUGCUUAUGCCACUGAGCUAAAUCCCCGGCCCUACAAAGUGAGUUUAAGGCCAGCCUGAACUACAUAUUAAAAGCCUGUCUCAAAAAAAAAAAAAAAAAAAAAAAAAUCAUUCAAGGGCUGGUAAAAAUUAGUCACUAAAGUUGGGCAUGGUUGUGCACACCUGUAGUCCCAGCAUUCAGGUGUCUAAGGCAGGAGGAUCUCAGCAAGUUCGAGGCCAGCUUAUACUACAUAGUGAGACUCUUAGUAACAAGAAAAAAAUGCUGGGGGUUUAGCCCAGUGGUGUAAGUGCUUGCUUGGCAAACACGAGGACAUGAGUUCAAUCUCUGGUACACACACACACACACACACACACACAAAGAACAAAAACAAAAACAAGAAAAGAUCAAACAGCUUUUAUUUUAUUUUUAUUUUUUUUGGUGCCAGGGAUGGAACUCAUGACCUCGCGCUUGCCAGGCAGGCGCUUAAGCCACUGAGCUAAAUCCCCAGCCCCAAACAGCUUUUAAAAAAAGACCAAAAAGUAUCUUUUGUUUGUUUGUUUGUUUGGUACCAGGAAUCAAACUCAUGAUCUUGCGCUUGCCAGGCAGGCACUUAUGCCGCUGAGCUAAAUUCCCACCCCCAAAAAUAUCUUUUAGGGCCAGGGAUUUAGCUCAGUGGUGUAAGUGCCUGCCUGGCAAGCACGAGGUCAAGAAUUCAAUCUAUGAUACCAAAAAAAACAAAAACUAUCUUUUAGGAAAAUUUGAUUGUUAGUUCUGUAUUACUCAGGAUCAUACUCAUGGGCUUUGCACUGAGCUAUAUUCCUGGCUCUUUAUUUUUUUUUUUUUUAAUCUUUUUAUCUGUACCAGGGAUCGAACUCACAACUGCCUGCUUGUAAGGCAGGUGCUUAUGCUACUGAGCUAAAUCCCCAUCCCUUCCCUGCUCUUUAUUUUGAGAGGGUUACACUUAGUUGCUAAACUGUGCAGGCUGGGUUCAAAUUUGUCAUCCUCCUGCUGUAGGCUCCCAGAGUGCUAGGUUUACUGGUGUUUGAUAAGACGCCUGGCUACUUUUUCAUCUUUUUGGGACAGGGUUUUGAAAUGCAGUACAGGCUGGCCUGGAAUUGGCAGUGAUCCUCCUGCCUCAGACUCUCAAGUGCUGGGAUUAUGGGCUUGCACCACCAUACCUGGCCUCUUUUAUUUGCUUUUAUGUGGAUUUUUUAUCGGUACCGGGGACUGAACUCACGAUCACCUACUUGCAAGGCAGGUGCUUAUGCUGCAGAGCUAAAUCCCCAGCCCCUGGAUUUUUUUUUUUUUUUUAAACCAGGAAUUGAACUCAGGACCUUGUGCUUGCCAGGAAGGCACUUAUGCCACUGAGUUUUAUAGCCCAUAUUUAACUUUUUUCUUUUUUUGGUACCAGGUAUUGAACUUACAACCUUCCACUUGCCAGGCAGGCACUUACAGCAUUGAGCUAAAUUCCUAGCCCUCCUGCCCAUAUUUUAAAGAGCAAAAAAUAACAAAAUUAGAGGGUAACAAUUUUAAAACAUUGCAUAGUUAUCUUUAAAUUAGUAACUCAAAAUAUAAGCUAUCUGCACUUAAUUGUCCAAACAAUACCAACACAAACCAUUCUUUUCAGAGAACUGAGAUAAUUAGUAUAACAAUUUUAACUAAUAUACACAUACACAUUAUCUUUCAGCUUCUCACACUA